CUGCUCCAGGGGUGAGAUAGUCUGUAGUUACCCAGUGUGCCCUGCUCCAGGGGUGAGAUAGUCUGUAGUUACCCAGUGUGCCCUGCUCCAGGGGUGAGGGAGCCUGUAGUUACCUUCACAGAUGUUUGUGGAGACACAAACCUUUCCAUUUCUUACAGACUGCAUGUUAUGGAUGACAGCUUUGCCGUGGUUUCCAGCAUAUCAACAAAUAGGAGGAGUGAGAAUAAACUUUAUUUAGA